rnacentral:lncRNA from 1 species
GGUCAUGACAUUCCCGCCCGGAUCAAACAAUCCUUGACCCCAAGGAUGAUUAUCAAAAAUUUGUCCCGUCCAGGUUCAUUACAAUCCUUCCUGCUUGAAAUCAACAUUGUCCUCAAGGUUGUUGUCCACACCCGCAUAUCAAAAACCAAAAUCAUCAGAUUAUUUCUCGCUAGAAUUCCUAAGGUAAUAUGCCUAUUUGCUGUGAACACUUCUCUCGCAAAAGCUUCAAUUAAAGACUUGGAUUGAUUGACCUUUGCUAUCAUUGUGUCCCUUAUAUCACGAAGCAAAGAUAGGCUAGUACUUUUUCUCAGUAUUGUUUCCAUUUUAGUCUGCAGCUCCGCUAUUCUGUCAAAGAGCUUUUCAGCCUCUGUUGUAGAGAUGUGGAGCUGCUUUUGGAGGUCAACGCUUCCAAGACAACCCAGUGGAAUUUCAGUGCGACAUGGUGCAAAUAAGCCCACAAAUAUUUGACCCUCA